rnacentral:lncRNA from 1 species
UGAAAAUCUUGCAGAGGAAAUUAUAUUUGUUUGGAAUUUGCUUCAAAAUAUUUUGUGACUAGGGGAAAUACAUAGGGGCACAGAUGAAACAAAUGAGACAUGGUUAUGGGUUAAUAACCAUUGAAAAUGGACAAUGGGAACACUGGGGUCCAUCCACUGUAUCACUCUUCUUUUAUAUGUGCAAAAUUUUUCCAUAAUAUAAGGUUUUAAAAAUGAGACAGUGCAUAUAAAAUACCUUGCACAGUGCCUGGCAAAUAGUAAGCACUCAAAGCCAUUAUCAUUUUCAUCUAACUUCUGUCUGUUCUGUUGGGCAACAUUUUCUCAAUUCAUCUAAAGUUUAUUUUGUGACUAUACAGCAAUACCCAGAAUGCCAUGUAAUUCUAUCAGGAAAGAUCAAUUGGGCUAAAUAAUCUUAGCUCACUCUUAGAAUCUGGCUUUCACUCAGGCUAUGCCAGAGCUUUUUUAUUAUAAUUCCCUCACAGCCAGGUUUGGCUUAGAAGGAGACUGUUACUAGAAUGAAACUCAGCUGCUAUCACUAAGGUUAACAUAAUUUGUAAUGUCUAUGCUCUGGGAUUUGCUUUUUAACACGCAGAGUUUUGCUAAGGUAAUCCAGUAUUAAAUGAGGAGGAAAAAAAAGAAAGGGAAGGAAAGGAAGGAGAGAAAGGAAGGCAGGCGAAAGAAAAUCUAUGUCUGUCCCAACUGAACUCACCUUUAAAAUUAUUUAAAAUAAUAAAGGCAUUUACCGGAAUGGUAGAAUUGGUGUAAGACAAAAGAAG